GUUCUGGCUUUGGCAGCACAUACACUGAAGUUAGAAUAAUUCAGAAAGAUUAGCAUGGCCCACGUGCAAGGAUAACACACAAAUCUGCCAUUUUUCUUCACAUUUUU